UGCUGGGUAUCAAUAUUAUCAUAACAGUAUCCUCUGACCUUGUUGGGUAUCAAUAUAAUCAUAACAACAUCCUCCGACCUUGCCGGGUAUCAAUAUCAUCAUAACCAUACAUGUAUAUAGAUAUAUAUAAUUGUUGCAUAGACACAAGCCGUAGCUAAAAUAAUGUAAAUUCAUAAGUGUUUUCCGAAAUAAUCUUCGGGACUAAAUCAUUGUAAGAAUGUAGAAAGGGUCAGAAUAUCUCAC
rnacentral:lncRNA from 1 species